UACGUAGGGGCAAGCGUUAUCCGGAAUCAUUGGGCGUAAAGCGCAUGUAGGCGGCCAUGUAAGUCGGUUGUGAAAUCCCGGGGCUCAACCCCGGAACUGCAUCCGAUACUGCAUGGCUAGAGGAAGGUAGAGGAGAGUGGAAUUCCCGGUGUAGCGGUGGAAUGGGCUGAUAUCGGGAGGAACACCAGCGGCGAAGGCGGCUCUCUGGGCCUUUUCCUGACGCUGAGAUGCGAAAGUGUGGGUAGCAAACAGG
rnacentral:misc_RNA from 1 species